UGGGAGAAGCCAGCUGCCAUGCCACGAGGACACUCAAGCAGCUUGAUGGAGAAGUCUACCUAGUGAGGAACUGAGGUCUCCUGCCAACAACCAGCAAGGAAUUGAGGCCUUCUGCCAACAGCUAUCUGUCUAACAGUGGAAUGAAUGGUGCCACCUGGAGCAGAAGCAGAGAGUUCCCUGUGUUCAACUAGGAGGACCCCCGCCUCUCAGGGAUACUGUAAAGGAAAAGGGGAGCGCAAUUUUCCAAGUGAAAUCAAUGCAGCAAGCGAAGAGCCCGGCUUCUCCUUCCUGCAGACACAGCCCUGCCAGCUGCUGCGCGUCCCUCUUUCACAGAGGCAGCCCCUCCGGUUUAUGCCUCCCAGCGGGACGGAACCUAGCUCAAAACCACUUCUCUGCCAGAAGUGCUCUCCAGGAAUUCUGGCCCGUGAAUAUCCUUCUUACUCAGUUAUUUUACGAUGUGAACAACUCCAUCUUGAAAUAAAUUGAACUGGGGAAAACUGGAAGUCUGGACUCUAGAGAGGUGUCUCCAGAGAGACAUGAAGAAUGACGGAGACACAGAGACCUCAGAAAAAAUUAGACAAUAUGGACACUAUGCUUCCUCAACGGGAAUUUUCUAAGGACUUAAAAACCAGUCCUUUGUCACUUCAAGUCAAGCUAUUGAUAUAGCUUUGGGCUUGUGGAUGUGUUAUUCAUGUUCUUGCUCAUCCCAUGGAAGUUGUGAAAUAAGGAAUAAACAUCAAUUCACAAGAAGAAUAAUGGCUGAUGAUCUGGUGGAUGAGCAGCUGAGCAACUGUGAUGCGCGCCAAAAGAGUCAAAAGUCAACUCUUCUUAAAGCACCACCAUCCACAUUAAUAUGACAGACCAGAAUAACUCUGAGGGAGCCAUUAUGAUCCAUUACGAAAAUAACAUUCAUUUGCAAAAUGAGGAACAUACCAAAAUGCAAGUGGUUCCAGUUCUUUCAGCUAAAUUACACAUUAAGCAAGCAGACUUCCUCUUCCAACAUUUUGAAACGGUUUAAUAUGCACUCGGGCUGGCCAGGGCCUAGAUUUUCUAAGACCGCCCCAAAGGUGAAGCCUCGAAAAAUGAGGACUGAUUGAUUGCCAGAGAGUCAGUCAGCCCCGCUGGUGUGUUGGUCAGGUGAAGCAUGACUGUGCUUUGAAAUUUCUCCUAGGGGACAGGAAUGAUACCACGUAGGAGCUGUGAAUCCCAGCUGGCUUCAUCCAAGAGCUUAUUGGCUGCUCCCCUCCAGUGGUUUGUUGGUUAGAACUCGGGGAUGAAGUGUAGUGGACGUUUGUUGUCUUUGCCUUUCGAGCAUUCAUUCAUACCUUCUUCUCAUAACAGUUCCUUGAAUUUCCUUUGGGAGGCUUCCCUUCCCUAUUCUUGGCCCAUGUAAUAAAAGCUAAGAAUGACAGCUAACGUGCAUUAAACUCUCAUCAUGUGCCAGGCACUGGUCGAACCAUCUUACAUUAACUCAUUUAAUCCUUAUACUAAC
rnacentral:lncRNA from 1 species